AAAUAUCAGAUGAAGGCAGCCGCCUCCGCUCCCCAAAACUUUUAGCCACUCGAAGAACAGAAGAAAAAUCGAAACUUUGAUCGGCCAAAGCUCUAGAGUUUUCAGUCCGAAACGAUGAGGGCGAAGUGGAAGAAGAAGCGCAUGAGGAGACUCAAGAGGAAGCGCCGAAAGAUGAGGCAGAGAUCCAAGUAAUUGGGUGUAGACUACUUCAAUCAACGCACCUGACGACAUCUAGGUUGAUUGGGAUUUGGAUUGAUCCUAAUCUGGUGAAGAUGCUGAAGGGGCUGUGUGUUGAUGAGAACUGUCUUUGAUAUCUUAUUUAGCAUUAAAACCAGACUAUUACCCGGUUGUUUUUGUUUUGAGUUUUAGUUGCGAGGGGAUAACUUAGCAGUGACCUUGUUAUUUUUAAGACUUAUGUUGACUAUGUUCUGAACUUUAUGUGGUGUUUCCUUUAAUUAGUUUUGGUUUGUUCGUGGUC